CUCUCGGCAACGGAUAUCUCGGCUCACGCAUCGAUGAAGAACGUAGCAAAAUGCGAUACUUGGUGUGAAUUGCAGAAUCCCGUGAACCAUCGAGUUUUUGAACGCAAGUUGCGCCCGAAGCCAUUCGGUUGAGGGCACGUCUGCCUGGGCGUCACGCAUCGCGUC
rnacentral:rRNA from 2 species